UGGAAAGAUUUAUCGGUGGGGGAUGGACUCGCGGCCUAUCAGUUUGUUGGUGAGGUAAUGGCUCACCAAGGCGAUGACGGGUAGCCGGCCUGAGAGGGCGACCGGCCACACUGGGACUGAGACACGGCCCAGACUCCUACGGGAGGCAGCAGUGGGGAAUAUUGCACAAUGGGCGAAAGCCUGAUGCAGCGACGCCGCGUGGGGGAUGACGGCCUUCGGGUUGUAAACCUCUUUCAGUAGGGAAGAAGCGAGAGUGACGGUACCUGCAGAAGAAGCGCCGGCUAACUACGUGCCAGCAGCCGCGGUAAUACGUAGGGCGCAAGCGUUGUCCGGAAUUAUUGGGCGUAAAGAGCUUGUAGGUGGCUUGUCGCGUCUGCCGUGAAAACCCGAGGCUCAACCUCGGGCGUGCGGUGGGUACGGGCAGGCUAGAGUGUGGUAGGGGAGACUGGAACUCCUGGUGUAGCGGUGAAAUGCGCAGAUAUCAGGAAGAACACCGAUGGCGAAGGCAGGUCUCUGGGCCAUUACUGACACUGAGAAGCGAAAGCAUGGGUAGCGAACAGGAUUAGAUACCCUGGUAGUCCAUGCCGUAAACGUUGGGCACUAGGUGUGGGGGGCAUUCCACGUUCUCCGCGCCGUAGCUAGCGCA
rnacentral:rRNA from 1 species